CGCGGGGUGGAGCAGCUCGGUAGCUCGCUGGGCUCAUAACCCAGAAGUCGUAGGUUCGAAUCCUGCCCCCGCUA
rnacentral:tRNA from 1 species